rnacentral:rRNA from 1 species
AACGAACGCUGGCGGCAUGCCUAACACAUGCAAGUCGAACGAAGGCUUCGGCCCUAGUGGCGCACGGGUGCGUAACGCGUGGGAAUCUGCCCCUCGGUUCGGAAUAACAGUUAGAAAUGACUGCUAAUACCGGAUGAUGACUUCGGUCCAAAGAUUUAUCGCCGAGGGAUGAGCCCGCGUAAGAUUAGGUAGUUGGUGGGGUAAAGGCCUACCAAGCCGACGAUCUUUAGCUGGUCUGAGAGGAUGAUCAGCCACACUGGGACUGAGACACGGCCCAGACUCCUACGGGAGGCAGCAGUGGGGAAUAUUGGACAAUGGGCGAAAGCCUGAUCCAGCAAUGCCGCGUGAGUGAUGAAGGCCUUAGGGUUGUAAAGCUCUUUUACCAGGGAUGAUAAUGACAGUACCUGGAGAAUAAGCUCCGGCUAACUCCGUGCCAGCAGCCGCCGUAA